rnacentral:rRNA from 1 species
GUAGGGGUCCAAGCGUUAAUCGGAAUUACUGGGCGUAAAGCGUGCGCAGGGCGGUUGUGCAAGACCGAUGUGAAAUCCCCGGGCUUAACCUGGGAAUUGCAUUGGUGACUGCACGGCUAGAGUGUGUCAGACGGGGGGUAGAAUUCCACGUGUAGCAGUGAAAUGCGUAGAGAUGUGGAGGAAUACCGAUGGCGAAGGCAGCCCCCUGGGAUAACACUGACGCUCAUGUACGAAAGCGUGGGGAGCAAACAGGAUUAGAUACCCUGGUAGUCCACGCCCUAAACGAUGUCAACUAGUUGUUGGGGAUUCAUUUCCUUAGUAACGUAGCUAACGCGUGAAGUUGACCGCCUGGGGAGUACGGUCGCAAGAUUA